UAGUCACAACCUCCCUCACUCUGUCACUAGUCACCCCCUCCCUCUCUCUGUCACUAGUCACACCCUCCCUCAUGUGACUAGUGACAGAGUGAGGGAGGGUGUGACUAGUGACAGAGAGAGGGAGGGGGUGACUAGUGACAGAGUGAGGGAGGUUGUGACU